GGCUCAGGACGAACGCUGGCGGCGUGCUUAACACAUGCAAGUCGAACGGGGAUCAUCGGGCGGAAGGCUUCGGCCGGAAGGCUGGUGAUUCUAGUGGCGGACGGGUGAGUAACGCGUGAACAAUCUGUCCCAGACAGGGGGAUAACACUUGGAAACAGGUGCUAAUACCGCAUGAGACCACGGUGUCGCAUGGCACAGAGGUAAAAGGAGUAAUCCGGUUUGGGGUGAGUUCGCGUCCGAUUAGCCAGUUGGCGGGGUAACGGCCCACCAAAGCGACGAUCGGUAGCCGACCUGAGAGGGUGAUCGGCCACAUUGGAACUGAGAGACGGUCCAAACUCCUACGGGAGGCAGCAGUGGGGAAUAUUGGGCAAUGGGCGAAAGCCUGAACCCCAGCAACGCCGCGUGAGUGAAGAAGGCCUUCGGGUUGUAAAGCUCUGUUAUAGGGGACGAAGUGCGUGACGGUACCCUAUAAGGAAGCCCCGGCUAACUACGUGCCAGCAGCUGC
rnacentral:rRNA from 1 species